rnacentral:lncRNA from 1 species
AUGGCAUUGGAGUUCCAGCAGGACAGAAAACUGAAUCUGGCAACCCAAACAACAAAACAGCUUGCUGGAAUAGCAUCUUACAAGUCCAUCUUCAAUGAUUAUGUACUUUUAUAUUCUUUUGAACAGGCAUUUGUGUUUUGUUUUGUGGAGCAAUUUUUUUUAUUCCACAUCUUGCAAGAAAAAGAUGGCUAUGUAAUUUCUGUUUAGAAAGAGGAAAGAUAUCUUCUUCCAUACUUCCUUGAAUUCGGACAAAAACUUAAAAAAGCCAAGAGGAGUCAAAAAGAGGAGUCAAUUGAAUCUUAGAAAAAAAUCAGAAGCAGAAACAAGCAGGAAAAGACUAUUUCCCUCUCAACAGGAACUGUCAUACGUUCAUCCUACUGGACUUAAAUGCCAAUAUGUAAUUUGACUGGUCACCAUUACAUCAACUCACUACUGUGGUAAGAAUUUUAUGGAAAGUACAUACCCAGGUCUUGUGCCCAAAUAACUUUGAGACAAACAUAUAUUAAAGCACUUUACAGAGAAAGGGCCAAAACAAAGCAAUUGAACAGCAGUUGAAAAUAUAUAUCAUAACGGAGAGUGAAGGGGACUUGGGAUGCAUAAAUAGAUGAGUGACUCUUUCAGUCUCAUUCACAUCUGGGCAGUUCAUUUGUUGUAAGCCUGGUUUUUCAGUAGUAGACACUUCUAAAUGAUAGUAUUGCUACUGAUAUGAAUUUUGAGGAAAGCUAAUGUUUUGCAAAGUAUAAUUUACAAUAACAUUCCAAGUUGGGUAGUAUUUAAGAAUAUCUUCCAUCCCUAGAGGAGGAAAGUUGAACCAGAGGGAGGGAACCAAUUUACUAAAGCAAAAACUGAAGUGCCAUGGAAGGUAGUAGAAAAUGUGGACUGUCAUUUCACUUUGAUGGAGUCUGUUGAUAAACCAUACCAGUUUAGCUAAACCUAAUCAGAGUUUUUAGACUCUAAAUGGAGGCAUUUAGGUUGGUUUAGUCCUCAGCCAAUAAUUUAUUAAUGCAAGAAUUAAACUCCCUAAAAUAUUUAAUUAUUAUUAUUUUUUGAAGUAGAGCUUAAAUCAAAUGAGUUAAAAUUGUAAAAACACUUUUCUAUAAACUUUCCCACCAGAAAAUACAGGAAAUCUUCCAGAGGUCUGAACUGCUGAAUUUCUAAAAUUUCUUUCAUGUGAGGCAACUGCGUGGAUCUUCUUCAUCUUCCUCAUGCUGAUAUUUUUUAGCCCUAUGACUAUCAGGUGAUUUAGCGUUCAGGAUCUUUAGCCAUUCGUUGAGCUGCCUCAUCAGUGGCUGUGACUUGUGCAAUUAGCUGAUGCUAUGUAAGUUUUUGCUUUUCUCACCUGAGGUCAGAUAGUCUCCAAAACCAAACAGAAAAACAAAUCAGAUUGCUCAGGCAAUCAAGGAUCUUUAAACUGAGAGUGGUAAGAAUAUAUAAUCCUCCUUCUCAUUUAAAGGAAAUAAUGCCAUCACUGAUACCAUAUAUCUCCAUCAACCAAGUUAGCUUACAACCAAAUAGAAGGCAGAAGCAUAGGUGAUUUAGACCAAAGAUUCAGUUUGACCAGCUCACUGAAGUGUGAGGCUACACCUACAAUCUUAAUUUUGUGGUGUUUUUCUAAUGACACAACAAAAUUUCAUUUUUAAAAUUAAUGAAAAAAUAGAAAGGUGUUUCAGACCUGGGCUUCAGUUUCAGCAGAUAUGUUUCCAGUUGUUGAUGCUGGCAUAUGAUAUAGAAUGUUAAACACUGUAGUAAGCAGGAAAAAUGUGCUUGAAACAAUUUGUUUUCAGUUUAAGAAUUUAUAUAGACUCUAAUCUCUGGAUCUGGCUAGGUGGCAAAGUGUGUAUGACUGUGUGAAUAAAUGUCUAUAAUUCUAUGUGUCUUACCUUCUU